GGGAUGUAGAAAUUGGAGGCACCCCUCCUUCUACUGCUAGGACUCCUCCUCCCACAACCAUUUUGGCUACUAUUCUUGAGGAGGUUCCUAUUGUGGAGGAGCCAUCCGUGGCUACAGACGGUUCUGCUCAACUUCCUCCCGAAGUCUGUAGUCAGAACGUUCAUACUUUAGAGGACUCCCCUUUGAGUUACCCUCCUGAGACGGAGGAGAAGUACACCUUUCCUUCUCCUCUUGAGGAGAAAAGCGCCCCAUCCUUUUAUCGGGAGAUGGAUGGCUCUUGGCGCCAGUGGUCCGUUCUCGUUCGCAACGGUUUCCAUGUUGUCCCUAUUCUCGACCGGGGCGAGUACGGGACUGGUUAUGGUUCCUUCUGUGCAGUUUCCCUGACCGACAUUCCGGGUUACCCUCUCUCCUCUAACGCGGGCAGAUGCUCUAACACCCUUUCCCUGGAUGCCGCCCAAAGAAUUUUGAGGGGGUUAGAGCUUAGAGAGAGAGUGUACUGGGCGU
rnacentral:lncRNA from 1 species